rnacentral:lncRNA from 1 species
ACCUGCUGCUCAUAUUUGUGAAAAGCAUCCACCCUGACUGAGCCGUAAUGCCACAACACUAGGAUGUCCCCCGACAGGCCCCUAGACUCCACAGUAUAGGAGCUCCAUGCCAUUAGGAUCCAUCACCUCGUCCAAUCAAAACUCGCACUAGACAAUCGAGUCUCAAUCAGAACACAAACAUCAGGCCUAUGCUGCUGAAUCAACCGGACGAAGGU